GACGAACGCUGGCGGCGUGCCUAAUACAUGCAAGUAGAACGCUGAAGAGAGGAGCUUGCUCUUCUUGGAUGAGUUGCGAUCGGGUGAGUAACGCGUAGGUAACCUGCCUUGUAGCGGGGGAUAACUAUUGGAAACGAUAGCUAAUACCGCAUAACAAUGGAUGACACAUGUCAUUUAUUUGAAAGGGGCAAUUGCUCCACUACAAGAUGGACCUGCGUUGUAUUAGCUAGUAGGUGAGGUAAUGGCUCACCUAGGCGACGAUACAUAGCCGACCUGAGAGGGUGAUCGGCCACACUGGGACUGAGACACGGCCCAGACUCCUACGGGAGGCAGCAGUAGGGAAUCUUCGGCAAUGGGGGCAACCCUGACCGAGCAACGCCGCGUGAGUGAAGAAGGUUUUCGGAUCGUAAAGCUCUGUUGUAAGUCAAGAACGGGUGUGAGAGUGGAAAGUUCACACUGUGACGGUAGCUUACCAGAAAGGGACGGCUAACUACGUG
rnacentral:rRNA from 1 species